AGUGAACGCUGGCGGUAGGCCUAACACAUGCAAGUCGAACGGCAGCACAGGAGAGCUUGCUCUCUGGGUGGCGAGUGGCGGACGGGCGAGGAAUACAUCGGAAUCUACUUUUUCGUGGGGGAUAACGUAGGGAAACUUACGCUAAUACCGCAUACGACCUACGGGUGAAAGCAGGGGAUCUUCGGACCUUGCGCGAUUGAAUGAGCCGAUGUCGGAUUAGCUAGUUGGCGGGGUAAAGGCCCACCAAGGCGACGAUCCGUAGCUGGUCUGAGAGGAUGAUCAGCCACACUGGAACUGAGACACGGUCCAGACUCCUACGGGAGGCAGCAGUGGGGAAUAUUGGGCAAUGGGCGCAAGCCUGAUCCAGCCAUACCGCGUGGGUGAAGAAGGCCUUCGGGUUGUAAAGCCCUUUUGUUGGGAAAGAAAUCCAGCUGGUUAAUACCCGGUUGGGAUGACGGUACCCAAAGAAUAAGCACCGGCUAACUUCGUGCCAGCCGCCGCGGUAA
rnacentral:rRNA from 1 species